AUGUUUAAUUCCAUGCUUUAACGAUGUAUUAAUAAACUCUUCUAUGGCAAUAAAUAUGUUUAUCUAACGGCUUCCCUUUACAGGUAAUACAAAACUCAAGUGCCAAAGCAAAUACGAAAAUUAACAGCCAUAUUAUUGCUGCAAGUAUUCCCAAUGUUAAUAUAACCAACCGUGAUGAACCAGUUACAAUAGCAUUCAAUGUAAUAGAUCCGAAUGCCACCAACCCACAAUGUGUCUAUUGGGACGAAUCCCCAGGGCGUAAUCCCCACUGGUCAGCAAAGGGCUGUGAUACAUCCGACUAUGAACCUGGAAAAAAAGUAUUUUGUACUUGUAACCAUCUUACAAGUUUUGCCAUGCUAAUGGAUGUCUACCAGAAUGAAAGAGAUGUAAAACAUAGUCAAAUGUUGUCUAUUCUUUCUAACAUUGGUUCCGGAAUAUCAUUUGUCUGUGUCAUUCUGACAGCAAUAGUUCAUGUUUAUUUCAAAAAUCUAUGGAAAUUAACGUCUUCCAAGGUUUUAGUAAACUUGUGCGUUUCUUUAGCUGCCACUUAUUUUAUCUUUCUUGUUGGGUUCCAAGAAUAUAGUACAAAAUAACAGCUGUUUGUAAGGCAAUGGCUGCUGUGUUACACUACUUCCUUCUGACAUCUCUCAUGGGGAUGACUGUAGAAGCAAUUCAUAUUUAUCGAGGCCUGUUUGUAUUCAAAACCAUUCGGUCAUCUUUUAUCAAGAGGAUUUUAAUUUUGGCCUGGGGUAUUCCAGCUGUCAUUGUCGUAACUACUCUGGCAAUUAACAACACAGACAAUUACAUUAGAAUUGAAUCAGAAAUGUAAGUAU